GUUAGAUAGUGGAAUUUGAUGAUUACGUAAAUGAUACACAAAAUUCAUAACUUAACAAAAGCAGCACAGAGAGGGCGGGACCUCCAUUUUUGAAUCUUUUCAUCACAAUUUCUUUUCUUUACACUCUCAACUACCCACCAUUGCUUUCCAUUUCUGCAAAUCCUAUUGAAGCUAUCCAUCUCGAUUAUCUGUUUCUUUCUUCUGUUUUCUUCUCUUUGCCCCUGACCCACCACAUUUGUCAGAUCUGCUUCUCCUCUCUCUCACUCACUAUUCAAAUCUAGGGUUUUUAGUUUUUUUUAACCCCUUUUUUCUUUGCCUCGCUCUGAAUUUACAUUGAUGCUCAAGUUAGUCCCUAUUUGAAUAUAGGGAGCUAACCCUCGAUUUGUAUUUUCUUAAGUGUACAUGGAGUUUUAGAUUUCACUGGGAAAUCGAAACUCCUAAAAUUUUCCACAAUGCAGAGCUCAGGUAGCUCAGUAGCUCAACCAGAGGUCAUAUUGGACUGGCUUCAGAAAGAGAUGGGCUACAGGCCGUUGGGACCGUACACUGCCUCUACGAACAAAUCCCAGUUGCCCUCCAUUGAUGCGCUUCGCAAGAUCUGCCGUGGAAACAUGCUACCCAUUUGGAGUUUCUUGACAAAGAGAGUGAAAUCGGAGAAGACUGUCGAAAAUAUAAGAAAGAAUAUGGUGGUGCAUGGUGGUGUGGCUGUUGAGACUGGUGGCUCUGUGAAUUUGGGGAAAGAGGAAGGUCGGAGUAAAGGAGGGAGGAGGAAGGAAAAGACAGUUGGGGAGAGUUCUAGCUCGGCAGAGAAUCGGGAAGCCGCUUUGCAUGAGAGGAAUUUGGCGGCGAAGGAGGUAGAGAGGUUGAGAAACAUUGUAAGGAGGCAGAGGAAGGAUUUGAGAGCUAGGAUGAUGGAGGUCUCGAGAGAGGAGGCUGAGCGGAAGAGAAUGCUUGAUGAGCGUGCAAAAAACAGGCAUAAGCAGGUGAUGUUGGAGGCUUAUGAUCAACAAUGUGAUGAAGCAGCAAAAAUAUUUGUAGAGUAUCAUAAACGUCUCUGUCACUAUGUUAAUGGAGCGAGGAAUUCUCAACGAUCAAGUGUUGAUUCGUUCCUUGAAGUAGUUAAUAGCCUUAGUGCAAACGGUAAAAAGGAGGCUGUAUAUUCUACUGUUAAGGGCACUAAAUCUGCAGAUGACAUUGUCCUCAUUGAAACAACUAGGGAAAAAAAUAUUCGGAAGGCAUGUGAAUCUCUUGCAGUUUAUAUGAUUGAUAGAAUACGCAAUUCUUUUCCAGCUUAUGAAGGAAGUGGCAUUCAUUUGAAUCCUCAAUUAGAAGCGGCCAAGUUGGGAAUUGAUUUUGAUGGGGAACUACCCAAUGAAGUUAGAACUACCAUUAUGAAUUGCUUGAAGAAUCCUCCCCAAUUACUUGAGGCAAUUACUGCAUAUGCGUCACACCUGAAAACUUUGAUUUCUAGAGAAAUAGAGAAAAUUGAUGUUAGAGCUGAUGCAGAAACCUUGAGAUACAAGUAUGAGAACAACAAAGUAAUGGAUAUUUCUUCUCCUGAUGUAAUAUCGCCAUUAAAUUAUCAACUUUAUGGCAAUGGAAAGGUUGCAACAGAUGUACCCUCUAGAGGAAGCCAAAAUCAACUUCUUGAAAGACAGAAAGCUCAUGUUCAGCAAUUUUUAGCUACUGAAGAUGCAAUAAACAAAGCUGCAGAAGCUAGGGAUAUGUAUCAAAAGCUCAUAAAACGCUUGCAUGGUAGUGGUGGUGUAAUUUCAUCUAACUCGCUUAGUGUUGGUGGCCCAUCACAGAACACGGGCAGUCUCAGGCAAUUUGAGUUGGAGGUUUGGGCCAAGGAGAGAGAAACUGCUGGACUGAGGGCAAGCUUGAGUACCUUGAUGUCUGAAGUCCAAAGGUUAAAUAAGCUGUGUGCAGAAAGGAAAGAAGCUGAAGAUUCUUUGAGAAAGAAGUGGAAGAAAAUUGAAGAGUUUGAUGCACGCAGAUCUGAACUUGAAGCCAUAUAUACUGCUUUAUUGAAGUCUAACAUGGAUGCUGCUGCAUUUUGGAAUCAACAGCCAUUGGCUGCAAGGGAAUUUGCAUCAAGUACUAUAAUUCCAGCAUGUACUGUUGUUGCAGAUAUUGCAAACAACGCAAAAGAUCUUAUUGAUAAAGAAGUUAAUGCCUUUUCUCAAAGUCCUGAUAAUAGCUUAUACAUGCUUCCUUCAACCCCUCAGGCUCUUUUGGAGUCUAUGGGUUCUAUCGGAUCUACAGGACCUGAAGCUCUUGCUGCUGCUGAGAAGAAUGCUGCUUUAUUGACAGCAAGAGCUGGUGCUAGAGAUCCAUCAGCAAUUCCAUCCAUAUGUCGUGUAUCUGCUGCUCUUCAGUAUCCUGCUGGUAAGUUCUUAUUCAUUCAUAUGGCUAGAGGUAUGGCUACCUUUUUGUAUUGCUCCUUGGCAGGUUAUUAGGUGAGGCUGCAAUUGGAACAUAUUCAUUUGUUAGGUAUCCUCCAAAAUACUGAAAUAAAUAUUGGGUUUGAAGCUAUUGCACUAUUAUUCACUGGAACUGAAUUAUCAGCGAGAUCUUGUUACAUUUUUUUGGUAAACAAAUUGUUGGGGAUACUCCUUGAAAAGGUUUUGAUGUCCUAAUAACAUUUAUCCUCAGAAGAGUGGCACAGGUUUUGGCUCAUAUUUGUCUGGACGCUAAUAAAUCUGGAUGAGGCUUUGGGUGAUUUAAAUUCCAUGUAGAAGCCAGACUUAUACAUGGUGUGAUUUAUUUAUAAAGAAAAUAAUAUUCAGCAUAAGUUAUUAAGAGAAGCUUUUUUUCCCCUUUCAUUAAGGGUUGGCUUGACCACAGUCCUCGCUGUGCUGUGCGUUGCAUCAUACACCUGAAGCCUAAUACUUGAUCUUGUUGUGAGGCAAAGACAAAAAUUGGCCCUUGGCAUUGCACUAACUUAAAAUUUAUAAUUAACUUUAUGAUUUGAUGACUACUAUAUGAUGGGGUAAAAUGUUUUUCUUCACAACUUCCACUGUUAGUUUGAGUAACUGCAGUUGAAUUGUCAGUGGUAUAAACUAUAAAGUUGAAAAUAAAUUGUGGUUAGUUGACAAUAUGCGCUGGUCUGAUCUCUGGCAGUCUAGCCCUAGCUAAGGUUGCUUUGAUGAAAAUUUAUUUCUUCUUAUUGACCGUAAUGGCAUAAUCAGUCUUGAAUAAGAGUUUUUUGCAUUGAACAGGAGAAAAGAGAUUUUUGGUAUAUAUUUGCUUCCCCAAAAUUAUAUUACAUAGUUUUUUUUGGCACUGCAGAAUGGUUGUGAACAGAAAAUAUUUAAUGAAUAAUGAUCUAACAUUAUUUCACAAUGGAAAGUUAUUUUCUGUACUUGAACAAAUUAUCUAAAUGCAUAGACAUACACAUGAGUCCACCACCAUUGUUGAUCAUUUUUGCCCAAUGCCCAAGAAUGACCUCUAAUUCUCCCCUAUUUAACUACAAAGAGAAUACCAUGAAGUCCUUGUAUGACCAAAAAUUUUAUAAUCGUAUUUAUUGAAUGUAAACAAGAUUUCUCAAUGCAUUCCAAAGGUCAAUAAAUAAAUUUCGACUAAUAUAUAGUUUUCUAACCAUAUAAUGAAACUAAGUCAUUUCUCGUAGAACAUUUUCGUAUUGACAGUUAUUUUCUGCAAAACAAACAAAUUGUAAUGGCUGUGUGUGCCUUGUUUUCAUAUGUAUUUUAUUAUAUCCCAAUUGAAUGAU